CAAUGGGUAUUAAACUGCGUAUAAUAAUCUCCCUGAUAUGUUGUAGUCUCUCAAAAUUAUGCCUUCACCGCAGUUAACAAGAAGCAAUUCUUCUUCUCUCUAGGUUUCCAGGAUCCCUUAGGGAGCCGCAUUGCAUUCUCUGGUCAGCAUGGAGAAAAUCUCUGCAGCGGUCUCCACGGGCCCCCAACUACAUUACCCAGAAGACCGCGCGCGGAGUUGAGCCAACGGAAGCAUUUCCGCUGAAAUUCAUCGCUUAUGUCGGGACUUCCGGUCUCCUCCCAGUGGUGGCUGCUUUGCUGCUCUAGGGUGUGUUCCGAUUCUCCAGCGUCAGGAUGGGACCAAGGUGAUAGAAGAGAAAUGGGCGCGUGGCAGAGAGGCGGGUUCGCGACUCGGCGACGCCGCCCGGGCUGCCCACGGGGCCGGGACAGGGACUGCCGGCCCGGGUGUCUGCUCCGCUCACAGAGUCCGAUGGAGGCAGCCGCGCGCAGGGACCCGGCUGAGAAACAUAAACUCAAAAUGGAUUAAAGACCUAAACAGAAGACCUGAAAUCAUGAAACUACUAAAGGAAAACAGGCAGUAAUCUCGUGUACAUUGACCUCAGCAAUACUUUUCUGAAUAUGUCUCUGUAGAUGAGGAAAACAAAAGCAAAAAUAAAUAGGACUAAAACUAAAAACCUUUUGCAUAGCAAAGGAAACCAUCAACAAAAAUGCAAAGGCAAGCUACUGAAUCAGAAAAGACAUUUGCUAAUGAUAUAUCCAAUAAGGAGUUAAUAUCCAAAAUUUGUAAAGAACUCACAUACCUCAACACCAAAAAGCUCCAAAUCAAUUAAAAAUUUCCAGAAGACCUGAAUGGACAGUUUUCCAAGAAGACAUACAAAUGGCAUGGGGCACCUGGAUGGCUCAGUUGGUUAGGCAUCUGACUACGGCUCGGGUCAUGAUCUCAUGGUUUGUGAGUUCGAGCCUCACGUUGGGCUCUGUGCUGACAGUGCAGAGCCUAGAGCCUGUUUUGGAUUCUGCGUCUCCUCUCUUUCUGCCUUCCCUCCCUUGCUCGCACUCUCUCUCUCUCUGUCAAAAAUAAAUAAACAUUAAAAAAAAAAUUUUAAAAGCAGACAUACAGAUGACAAACAGACACAUGAAAAGAUGCUCAAUAUCACUCAUCAUCAGGGAAAUGCAAAUCAAAACCACAAUGAGACAUCACCUCACACCAGUCAGAAUGGCUAGUAUCAAAAAGACAAGAAGCAAGUGUCGGUGAAGAUAUGGAGAAAAGGGAACGCUCAUGCAGUUAAUGGGAAUGUAAGUUGGUGAAGCUACUCUGGAAAGCAAUAUGGAGGUUCCUUGAAAAACUAAAAAUAGAACGAUACAGUCCAAUAGUUCCACUUCUGGAUAUUUACCUGAAGAAAACAAAAGCACUAAUUCAAAAAGAUUUGUGCACCCCUGCAUUUAUUGCAGCAUCAUUUACAAUAGACAAGAUAUGGAAGUAACCAAAGUGUCCAUUGAUAGAUGAAUGGAUAAAGAUGUGGUAUAUGUACACAAUGGACUAUUACUCAGCCAUAAAAAAAAAAAAAAUGGAAUCUUGCCAUUCACGACAGUGUGUAUGGAUGUAGAGGGCAUUAUGCCAAGUGAAAUAAGUCAAAGAAGGACAACUACCAUAUGAUUUCACUUAUGUGUGGGAUCUAAAAAACAAUACAACAAAGGAGAGAAACUGAAUCAUGGAAAACUAGUGGUUGCCAGGGAGGAAGGAGAAGAGGGAUUUGCAAAAUAGUUGAGGGGGAUUGAUUAGUACAAACUUCUCAUUGUAAAAUAAGGAAGUCAGAGACAUGAAAAUACAGCAUGGGGAAUACAGUCAAUAAUAUUGUAAUGACUUCGAAAGGUGACAGAUGAUAACUACACUUAUGGUGAGCGUUUCAUGAUGUAUGUGUCAAAUCACUAUGUUGUACCUCUAAAACUAAUAUAUUACAUGUCAACUAUACCUCAAUUAAAAAAAUUUUUUUAAUGUA